CCGAAGGAGUUUUCUUUUAUGAUAGAGGCUCUAACUACAACAACGGCCGUCCAGGUCAAGAUCAUCAGUUCAAAGGUCGGGUCGCACAUUUUCAAGAUGAGCUGAAGUACGGCAACGCCUCCAUCAUCAUCAGAAAUACGAAGGUGACCGACAGUGGAGACUACACCUGUGAUUUUCCAGCUUGAGCCAAGACAGAUAUUCCACAUUCAUCUUAUUGUUGUUGACUUCGCCUUUAAAGACAGGAGAGCAGAAAUUAGAGGUGCAGCUCAAAAGCCGUCUGUUAGUGCACUCGGUCAAACAGCUGAUGGGGCCCUGCUGCAGUGUGAAGUUCUUGGUGCUUCUUCAAAACCUACAGUAGAGUGGCAGGACAGUGCUGGAAACAAACUUCCUGCUGAGGAGCCACAGGUCUCAGAAAGAGGAGGCAGCUUCUACAUCACCCUCCAAACUACUGUGAUGAAGACCGACCGCUAUCGCUGUGUAGCCACACAGGAGGAGAUCAAACAUCAGAUUUAUACUGAGACCUACGUGUUUAUCUGUGAGAAACUGUUUGUGGACACGUGCAGCAGAGGAGUUGUCGCAGGAUUGUUUGGUGGAAUUUUUUAGGAGCUGUAAUUGUUGCUGCUGUUCAAGCUUUUCUUGUAGCUACAAAGUUCAUCAAAAUAAGUCGUACUAAAGGUUCUCGUGAGUACAGAAACGGUCAUCAUUGAGAUCCUGCAGAGCUGCUGUCAAGAAACACUCAUUGAUUGAUUAACGGACGUUUUAAAGAGUGGUUACAGUGGAAUCCGAUAAUUGCUGCAUCCCUACUUUGUUACUUUGUAUUUUUCAUUGUCUAAAGAAUUAUGUGUUUUAUUCAUGUUGUCUUGUUGGUUUUGUUGUUAAGUUUUAUUUACAUUAAGUGUAACAAACCACUAUUUGUUUUCUUUAAGUGAAACGUGUUAUGUGCAUUUCUUUCCUCAACGCUAGUUUUAAAGAAAGAUUGUGUUUUUAAUCAUAUGAAAGAAAGAAUACUGGUGCCUUGUUUCAAUGACUUGAAGUUUCACUUUCUGGAUGUAAGAUGUCUGUUUCACUGUAAAGUUCACUGUGUGUGUUUUUUGCACUGGUUCAUCACGCCACACUUGUAGAUGCAUACUGCCCUAUGAUUGGUCCAAACUAAAUGUGAAUCAGCAUGCUUGUUAGUGAAAAAAGCUCUUACAAAUCUGUUUACCUUCAUUUCCUGUCUACUUUAAGCUGUUACAUAAAAGUGUUAAUGUCAUACAAA